UACGGGGGGGGUAAGCGUUGUUCGGAAUCACUGGGCUUAAAGCGUGUGUAGGCGGACUUCUAAGUACCUUGUGAAAUCCCACGGCUCAACCUGGGAACUGCGUCCGAUACUGGAUGGCUUGAAUCCGGGAGAGGGAUGCAGAAUUCCAGGUGUAGCGGUGAAAUGCGUAGAUAUCUGGAGGAAUACCGGUGGCGAAGGCGGCAUCCUGGACCGACAUUGACGCUGAGGCGCGAAAGCCAGGGGAGCAAACGGG
rnacentral:rRNA from 1 species